rnacentral:rRNA from 1 species
CCUACGGGUGGCAGCAGUGAGGAAUAUUGGUCAAUGGGCGCGAGCCUGAACCAGCCAAGUAGCGUGAAGGAUGACUGCCCUACGGGUUGUAAACUUCUUUUAUAAAGGAAUAAAGUGAGGCACGUGUGCCUUUUUGUAUGUACUUUAUGAAUACGGAUCGGCUAACUCCGUGCCAGCAGCCGCGGUAAUCCGGAGGAUCCGAGCGUUAUCCGGAUUUAUUGGGUUUAAAGGGAGCGUAGAGUGGUUGUUAAGUCAUUUGUGAAAGUUUGCGGCUCAACCGUAAAAUUGCAAUUGAUACUGGCAGUCUUGAGUACAGUUGGGGUAGGCGGAAUUCGUGGUGUAGCGGUGAAAUGCGUAGAUAUAAGGAAGAACACCAGUGGCGAAGGCGGAUGACUGGACGGCAACUGACGGUGAGGCGCGAAAGCGUGGGGAGCAAACAGGAUUAGAUACCCUUGUAGUC